ensembl:snRNA U6 U6 spliceosomal RNA
GUGCUCGCUUCGGCAGCACAUACCCUAAAAUUGGAACAAUACAGGGAAGAUUAGCAUGGCCCCGCACAAGGAAGACAAAUUUGUGAAGCAUUCCAUAUUUUU